rnacentral:rRNA from 1 species
CCUACGGGGGGCUGCAGUAGGGAAUAUUGGGCAAUGGACGCAAGUCUGACCCAGCCACGCCGCGUGAAGGAUGACUGCCCUAUGGGUUGUAAACUUCUUUUGUAUGGGCAGAAACCUCCGAACGUGUUCGGAGCUGACGGUACCAUAAGAAUAAGCAUCGGCUAACUCCGUGCCAGCAGCCGCGGUAAUACGGAGGCUGCAAGAGUUGUCCGGAUUCAUGGGGUUUUAGGCGGAGGUAGACGUCAGUGGUGAAAGCUCGCAGCUUAACUGUGAAGAUGCCAUUGAAACUGAUUUUCUUGAGUUCGAUUGAGGUAGAUGGAAUGUAUCAUGUAGCGGUGAAAUGCUUAGAUAUGAUACAGAACACCAAUUGCGAAGGCAGUCUACUAAGUCGAUACUGACGCUGAGGCACGAAAGCAUGGGGAGCAAACAGGAUUAGAUACCCUGGUAGUC